rnacentral:rRNA from 1 species
AUUGAACGCUGGCGGCAUGCCUUACACAUGCAAGUCGAACGGUAACAGGUCUUCUGCUGCUGACGAGUGGCGCACGGGUGAGUAAUACAUCGGAACGUGCCCGAUCUUGGGGUAUAACGAGGCUAAAGCUUUGCUAAUACCGCAUACGAUCUACGGAUGCAAGCGGGGGAUCUUCUGGCCUCGCUCGGACGGAGCGGCCGAUGGCAUAUUAGGUAGUUUGUGGGAUAAACGCUUACAAAGCCGACGAUCUGGAGCUGGUCUUGGAGGCUGAUCAGCCGCACUGGGAGUGGGCCAGCGACCCGAGUACUAAGAGACGCAGCAGACGGGAAUGUUGGGCAACAGGCGAGAGUCUUAUACAGCCAUCCCGAGUGUAAGAUGAAGGCGUUCGGGUUGUAAACAGCGUCUGUACGGAACGAAAAGCUUCUAUCUAAGAAAGAGGGGUAAUGACGGUACCGUAAGAAUAAGCGCCGGCUAACUACGUG